rnacentral:rRNA from 1 species
GGAUUAGAUACCCUGGUAGUCCACGCCGUAAACUAUGAUUACUCGUUUUCGGCGAUAUACAGUCGGAGACUAAGCGAAAGUGAUAAGUAAUCCACCUGGGGAGUACGAUCGCAAGGUUGAAACUCAAAGGAAUUGACGGGGGCCCGCACAAGCGGUGGAGCAUGUGGUUUAAUUCGAUGAUACGCGAGGAACCUUACCAGGGCUUAAAUGCAGAACGCAUAAUUUGGAAACAGAUUAGUCUUCGGACGUUCUGCAAGGUGCUGCAUGGCUGUCGUCAGCUCGUGCCG